rnacentral:rRNA from 1 species
GAUGAACGCUGGCGGCGUGCCUAAUACAUGCAAGUCGAGCGAAUGGAUUAAGAGCUUGCUCUUAUGAAGUUAGCGGCGGACGGGUGAGUAACACGUGGGUAACCUGCCCAUAAGACUGGGAUAACUCCGGGAAACCGGGGCUACUACCGGAUAACAUUUUGAACCGCAUGGUUCGAAAUUGAAAGGCGGCUUCGGCUGUAACUUAUGGAUGGACCCGCGUCGCAUUAGCUAGUUGGUGAGGUAACGGCUCACCAAGGCAACGAUGCGUAGCCGACCUGAGAGGGUGAUCGGCCACACUGGGACUGAGACACGGCCCAGACUCCUACGGGAGGCAGCAGUAGGGAAUCUUCCGCAAUGGACGAAAGUCUGACGGAGCAACGCCGCGUGAGUGAUGAAGGCUUUCGGGUCGUAAAACUCUGUUGUUAGAGAAGAACAAGUGCUAGUUGAGUAGGCUGGCACCUUGACGGUACCUAACCAGAAAGCCACGGCUAACUACGUGCCAGCCGCCGCUGUAA